rnacentral:tRNA from 1 species
CCAUUUGAAAAUUAUCUUUGAAUUAAAAGUCCAAUGCUUUCACUGUUAAGCUAUCAAACCACCAUGAUUUUUUCACGAGUU